CAACACCAUGCACAAGCAGGAGGUGAUGAUCAAGAAAAGGAUGAAGAUUGUUUUCUCUGUGGGUCUGGAGAUGAAACAGUCCACAGUGUUAGGACAAGGCUGCAAAUCACACUUCAAAAGGCUACAUGUAGAACUACGAGAAGAGAAGGCGUGGAGACCAUAAUUAGCUACGUGCUCUGCUGCUACUAUGUAGACCAGCAAACGGAAGAUGAACACAACAGCCAGCCAUAGCCUCCCAGUCCCAGUUGAGUAUUUAUUUACUCCACUUAGAAGGUCUCUGAGGAACAUCCAACUCAUGGCUUAGUCUCAAAAGAAGGCAAGACUCUGCAAAAGAAAACAAUUUCAUCAUGAUUCAAUUAUUUCUAUUCCACUCAUAAUUUGUACUGUCUUAUUUGGGAGAUUGUGAAAGACAAACUCCAAUGGCUACAUUGUAGCAUCUCUGGAUGUUGAAGGCUCUCUAUGAAUCCCAUAGGAUGUGCUCAUUUUUUAUACAAGGAAAUGGUACAACUGGUCUGUGGACAUACUUGAUCCCAUGCCCACUUUAAUUUGAAAUUUGGUUGAUUUUCUCUAACAUUCUACCACAUUUUCAAGCAAUUCUCUGGUCGAAAAUCUUUCUGGUUUGCUGCUUUCCUCCAAAGAUGGAUGGGUUGUUACUGAUUAGGGAAACAUAUAAAUCCCAUGGUGACACUGGUACCUUGAGAUAUCCUUCACAUACCAGACUUCUGAAGUUCUAGUCUCACUUUCUGUACUCGAUUGAUGCUCCUCCUCAGUCACUGAGGGCUCUCCAGUGUCCUUAGCUGCUGUUACUUCCCAUACCCUGCACCAGCAGCUGGACUUGCCUACAAUUUGACAGUGAAAAGUGAAGCUUUCCAAUAUGAACUCAAAUCUGUUGCUCCUUCAUCCUCCAGAUGGACUUGCAUCCAUACCCAGCUUUCCUUCUUUAUCAGUUUGGAGGGAGAGGUCUCCUUUCUCUUGUAUCAAAAAAUUAUUUCUGUUCUAUAUCUCAUUCUUAAUCUGUCCUAUAUUUUAUAUAAGGAUACUUCAAAAUGUUCAAUGUAAAUACAUAUUAUGAAAAAACUCUAAAUGUAUUCCAAAUAUUUUUGUGCCAAAAUAAACAUCGGAUUUCAUUUUCCACAAGCAUUUUGAAGUACCCUCAUAUCAUCAACUUCCACUGACCCCUUUUUCUCAGCAUUUCUUGCUAUUUUUGGUUUCCAGGGUGUGAGGGGAAUAGAUGAAUUUUCAUUGCUUUUCUUCUGACACUUUUUCUUCUUUAUCCCUUAUUUCUGCUUCCUCAACUAUUAGUCCUUACUGCCCUGCCUUCUCCCAUUGCUUUGCUCCUCCUAUUUCAAUACUUUUGUUUGUCCAGUUCUUUUUUUUUUUAAGAUUUAUUUAUUUAUUUAUUUGAAAGUUACAGAGAGGGAGAAGCAGAGAGAGAGAGAGAGAGAGAGAGAGAGAGAGAGAGAGAUUCCAUCUGCUGGUUCACUCCUCCAAUGGCUGCAACAGCAGGGCUGGGACAGACUGAAGCCAGGAGCCAGGAGCCAGGAGCUUCAUCCAGAUCUCCCACAUAGGUGCAGGAGCCCAAGAAUUUGGGUCAACUUCCACUGCUUUCACAGGUGCAUUAGCAGGGAGCUGGAUCAGAAGUGGAACUUCUGGGUCUUAAACCAGCACCCAUAUGGAAUGCUAGCAUUGCAAGUGGUGGCUUUGCCCGCUGCACCACAGUGCUGGCCCCUGUCCAGUUUUUAAAAACCUCUGUCCUCUGCUCUGCUCUUAUUCCACUACUUUCACUAGGAAAUCUCAUUCAUUCUGUGGAUUGAAGCGCUGCUUUCAAGUUCCUGACUCAAAUCUCAGGUCUUUCCCAGAUCUCCACGUCCCACCAUCUCUGUUUAUCAUCUAAAUGUUUCAUAGGAAUCAGAAGCAUGUUAUGUCUACAUCUGAAUUUAUUAACUUCCUUGCUCUUUUUUCUUCCUUUUUUUUUAGUUUUUUAACUUUUAACAGAUUCAAUGUAGCUCAUAAAUAAAAUUCUAAGAAUACAUUCUCUCUCUCUUUUCUUUCAUUUUAUAUAUAUUCAUAUAUAUUCACAAUAUAUUUUUAAUUUACGUUAUAGUCAAGGCUUAAUGCUGCACCAAAUAAAUGGUUCAACAACUAAAAAGUGAAAUAACCUAUUUUAGCAGGAAUAUAGGCAAAGCUGUAAACAAUAACUAAAUUGAAAGAUGACUAUUUCACCCAUAUACAGAAAAUUUUUUUAAAUUAAUUUUUUUAAUUAAAGCUAUAGUAUAACAUUCUUUUUUAAGAUUUUAUUUAUUUAUAAGGCAGAAUUAUAGACAAGGAGAAGGAGAGACAUAGAAGUGUUCAAUCUGCUGGUUUGCUCCCCCAAUGGCUGCAAAAGCUGGAGCUGGCCUAUCCGAAGCCAGGAGCCAGGAGCUUCUUCUGGGUCUCCCACACGGGUGCAGGGGCCCAAGCACUUGGGCCAUCUUCCACUGAUUUCCCAGGCCAUAAGCAGAGAGCUGGAUCAGAACAGGAGCAGCCAGGACAUGAACCAGUGCCCAUUUGGGAUACCGGCACUGUAGGCGGAAGCUUAGCCUACUAAGCCACAACGCCAGCCCCAGUAUAACAUUCUUAACCACUGGUUCUUAACCAUUGAUUUAACAAAGAUAUAAAACAAAACUAUAUCUGCAGCAAUACUGAUAUACACAGGGAUGUCUUUUUUUGAGUUUUUGUUUUUUUAUUUUUGUUUGUUUGUUUGUUUUUAAUUUUACUUCCACACAUAAAGGAGAAUGUGUGGUAUUUGUCUUUCUUUGGCUUAUUUCACUCAACAUGAUGAUGUCCAGUUGUAUCCAUUUUGCUACAAAUGAUAGAAUUUCUUUUUUAUAGCUAAAUAAUAUUAUGUUGUGUGUAUAUACCACAUUUUCUUUAUUCAUUUGUCUGAUGAUGGAAACUUUGUUUGAUUUCUUGAUUUGGCUAUUGUGAACUGCUGCUAUAAACAUAGUGGUGCAGGUAUUUCUUUAAUACAACAUGUUCAUGUCUUUUGGGUGUAUAUCCAAAAAUGACUUCCUUGCUCUUUGAUUCAGUUGUCUUGUCAGGUGGUGUUAUCAGCACCCAAGCACCCAAAUAAAAAAUCCCAAAUUCAUCCUGAUCUCCUUUUCUCAUGAACCUUUUUCAAUUGUCCAUGAAGUUUUUUUUUUAACUUUUAUUUAAUGAAUAUAAAUUUCCAAAAUACAGCUUAUGGAUUACAAUGGCUUCCCCCCCAUAACGUCCCUCCCACCUGCAACCCUCCCCUUUCCCACUCCCUCUCCCCUCAUGAAGUUUUUUUGAUUCCUAUUAAAUUCUCUUGACUCCAUCUCUAAGUCACUGCUGAAACCUCUCUCACUUCUUCAACCCUCCCUCUACUUCUAUUUCCUGUCUCAUUAUCUCAUCCCCAGUACAUGCUCAGUGCUCUUUGAUCUCUUACACCUCUCUCCAUCUCUUGAGUAAAAAUUCUGGGGAGCCCCUUCUGUAUUUCAGAGACAUUGUGUUUCUGGCCCUGUCUACUUCCAUCUUGUCUUAAAAUUGCACUCUGUAGCGUAGAUUCCGACUUCCAUUUGUUGGCUAUGAUCAGCACUUUAUUCGGUGCUGUUGGUCUGUUGUAACCAUUCUGAAAUAUGGGUUUUGUUUUUGAAUUAUCUUCAUUUGUUUUGUAGUAGUUGUUAAUUUGUUCUUUCAAAUGAGAAGGCAGACACUGAGAAUAGAAGUCACUUUCCCAAGAUCACAAAAUGAGAGGCACAGCCACGUUCUCAAGUCCAGUUUCUGUUGCUCUAGAUCACGGUUUCUCAACAUUGACAUUUUGGAUUGGAAAACUCUUUGUUUCAAUAGCUGUCCUUUGCAUUUAAUGGAUAUUUAUCAUCAUACCUAACCUUUAGAUGCCAGCAGCAGUUUCUCCUCAGCCCACCACACACACACACUCAUGCGCACACACACACCCACACACACAUUUUGUGACAACCCAAAAUGUCUCCAGACUUUUCCAAAAAUGUUCUCUGAGAGGGAAAGUCUCCCUGAUUGAAAUGCUUUUAACUAAUUCUGCCAUAAGCAGAAGAUGUGAUCUAGAGCCCCAGGCCUGCCACUAAUUUACUUUCUUUUUUCUAGGCCAGAAAACCAUGCCUUUUCAGGUGCUAUUUCGUAUUACAAAAAUCAGUUACUUCUUAUUUUCUCCAUAGAUUCAGUGAAAAAAAAUCAUGGAAAUGGGAGUGUGGGGGAGUCAGGGGAUUAAGAAGCUUGGAAUAUUGUUACAAUAGCACACCUGUCUCAGCACAUAACAUUAUGUUUACAGAGGAGCAAUAUGGAUCAAGCUCACAUGGUGAGAAGAUGAAUGAAGGUUAACAGGUGAUUUCAGAUAAAACAAAUAUUCAUGUGCAUAAUGUGUUAUUCACUAGGACAUAAAUACUUCAAUGUCCUUGGCGUUCAGGACACAAACAAAAUUAUAUUAAAUAAAAAGGAUUCAUUUUUAAUCUACCAGAAAGGUUAAUGUCUUUAUGAAUUAUUAAAACAAAGCCCUUAAGAUUAAAAAGUGGCAGGGUGGUAUUAUGUUUCAUUUUGACAUAUGUCAUUGGGCAUUUAUCCAUAUUACUAAAGAGGAUAUUCAUGUAUUAUAAAACAUUUGAAAGCACUUUGUUAGGUGUCUUAGAGAAAGGAAGAAGGUAAAUAUAGAUUUAAACUGUGUUGCUAAAACAAAAGUGGUAAGAAAGUGACUGAUCUUUGAAUACAAAGAACUAAUGUCAGAAUUACAACUUCCAUUUGACUGAUAAAUGCCCAGCCUACUUUCAAAUUCUUUGCUGAUGGAAAGACAAGAGAUUUCUCAUGGAGAAGAAGCAUUUUAAUGUUAUUUGCCUAACUGAAGUGGUUUAGCAUAGUGGUUAAGAACCUUCGUUCACUGAUGGACUCCUCAUGUUCAUGUCCAAAUUUGUCUGUGGUAAUAAUGGAACUUGUGAGACUUUCUUUAGUUAAUAUUUAUGAAGCUCCCAAAGUAGGGUCUAGUGCAAGGUUGGUGCUCAGUAACCAUUGUCAUUAUUAUUUUCUUAUUUUGCUAUUGAAAACUUGGUUGUUGUCAAAGUGAAGCCUCCACAUCAUAAAUUUAUUACGUAUUUAAUUUAAUUGCACAUAAUUAGGGGUACAUUAAAUAUUUAAUGCUAGUUCUAUUCUUGUGAAGGGGUACAAUAGUCAGAAAUCUCUAUGUGGUAUAUCUUUAAGCAUUUUAAAGCCAUGAAAUCAUUUGCUCAAGUUUUUGAUAUAUUAAAAAUAAUUCCAGAGUCUCUUCUUAGCAAUAGUCUUUAAUUUAUCCAUUUUCUUAAAUUUCCAAUGAUCCUUUCUAAUUUUUAAUGGAGUUCUUACCAAUUCUAAUAACCCAAUACUCCCAUGACGUUCUCCCUUCACUUAAGAAGUAGCAGUUUACUUCACAGGAAUUUCAUCUGGAAAAUUCAAUUAAACAUUUCCAGAAAGUAAAAUAUGCAAUAUUUCCAAUACCAAGAAUGAUUUUGAAAAUUUUUCUCAAAUAUUUGAUGUAAAUUAAGAGUGGAAUGGAUAUAAGGUGCAAGGAAAAUGAUAUUUCUGCCUCCAAAAAAAUGACAUUGAUCUGUAUCACACAUCAUUUGCAAAAAUCAAUUCAAAGUGGAUCUAUGACCUAAAUAUAAGAGCUUAAUCCAUAAAACUUUUAGAAGAAAACCUAGGGGCAAGGUGCCAUGACCUUGGAUUGGAUUUGAUCCAGCAUUUAUACAUGACAACAAAAGCAUGGACAAUAAAAGAAAAAAUAGAUAAAUUGGACAUCGUCAGAAUUAAAAAUUUUUGUACCUUGGGAUUGUAUCAAGAAAGUGAAAAGACAAUCUCUAAAAUGAGAUAAAAUAUUUAUAAAUUAUAUAAAGAUAUAAAACCCCAAUAUAUAAAGAACUUCUAAAAAAUAAGACAACCUAAUUUUUUAAAUGAGCAAAAGAUUUGAGUAAACAUUUUCCAAGAAAGAUAUAGAAAUAGCCACUGAACACAUGAAAAAGUUCUCAAAUCAUUCAUCAUUAUAGAAAUGCAAAUAAGAAUGAGAUACCACUUCAAAUUUGCUAAAAUGACUAUAAUUUUUAAAAUAUAAAAACUUGUGAGAAUGAGGGGAAAUUAGAACCAUUGUAUAUUGCUGAAGAGAGUAUUAAAUAAUGCAACCAAUUAGAAAAAUUUAGCAUUCCCCAAAAAGCUAAAUAGGGGUUUACCACACACCCCAGCAUAUAUACUCCUAGGUUUAUACACAAAAUAAUUGAAAACAGUGACUCAAACACAUACUUGCAUACCAGUGUUCAUUGCAGUAUUAUUCUCAAUAAGCAAAAGGUGGAAACUAUCCAAGUGUCUUUCAACAGUUGAAUGGAUAAUCAAAAUGAGGUAUGCACAUAUAAUGGAAUAGUAUUCAGCCAUAAAAGUAAUAAAAGUCUGAUGCAUAUUACAGCAUGAAUGAGCCAUCAAGACAUUAUGCUAAGUGAAAUAAUCAAGUCACAAAAGGACAAGUGCUGCAUAAUUCCACUUAUCUGAAAUAUUUAGAACAGGUAAAUUCAUAUAUACAGAAGUAUGUUAGAGGGUACCCAGGGCUAAAAGGAAGGGAGAAUUGGGAAUUGCUGCUUCAAAGGUUGUAGUGUUUCUGGGAGUGAUGAAAACUUUGAAAAUAGGAGUGAUGACUGAAUCCUGUAAAUGCAAUGAAUGCCAUCAAAUUAUAGGCUCAAAAUUAAAAUGUAAACUUUGCCGGUGCCAUGGCUCGAAAGGCUAAUCCUCCACCUAGCGGCGCCAGCACACCGGGUUCUAGUCCCAGUCGGGGCACCAGAUUCUUUCCCGGUUGCCCCUCUUCCAGGCCAGCUCUCUGCUGUGGCCCGGGAGGGCAGUGGAGGAUGGCCCAAGUGCUUGGGCCCUGCACCCCAUGGGAGACCAGGAGAAGCACCUGGCUCCUGGCUUCGGAUCAGCGCAGUGCGCCGGCCGCAGCGAGCCAGCCGUGGCGGCCAUUGGAGGGUGAACCAACGGCAAAAGGAAGACCUUUCUCUCUGUCUCUCUGUCUCUCUCUCUCACUGUCCAUUCUGCCUGUCAAAAAAAAAAUGUAAACUUUGUGUUAUAUAUAUUUUUGCCACAAUAAAGCUAGAAAAGAACCAGGGUAGGAGGAGCCUACUUAAAAAAUAAUGAUGCAAUAGGGGCCCAUAAACCCUAAAUAUUUUUUAAAAAGGAGUAGAAAAAAGUACAAAAGGAAUAAAAGCAAAACAUUAGUAAUGCUUGUCAAUGAGUAAAUUUCUCAUAAUUUUGUUUAUUAUGACUUUCUCCAUUGCCCGUAUUUUCAUGAAAAUUUAUUAAAUAUUAAAAAAUAAAUCUAAUGAAAGACAAAAAUCAAAGAGCCACCAUGUGUUUACAUAUGUGUAUGUGUUUUUUGUAACAAAAUUAAAUGAGGCUGUUUACAGAGUAGAUGUGUGUCUAUCAACCAUUGAAUUUAUGCCUGGAAGUUACCAUGUAGGAAGAUUAGAUGGUGGAUCCUUUCCCGUCCUGCUUGCCUCUGCAUGCACGUCAGUGCAUCUCCAGUCCUCUUAACUCUGAAAACCAGCUCCUGUCUGCACCAUAAGCGUAUCAUCCCGUCAACUUAAUUAUUCAAAAUGAGCUUUGCUGGUACUUACUCCAUCUUCCAUUGUAUCCCUCUUCCCAAAAUGCAGCUCCUUCUCCAGUGUUCUCCACCUCAGUAAGUAGUACUAACAUUCACCCAAGUAAUAAAGCCAGAAACCUGGAAGUCAUUCUUCCUCCUUCUCUCUUCAUGAAAUAAACAUGCAAUCUACAUUCAAAGCCAGUGUUUUUACCUUUCAAAUAUAUUCCAGAACUUUUCACUCCUUUCAUCUGUACUGACACCAUCCAAAUCCAAGCCACUCUUACCUCCUUCCCAGAAUACCAUAAUAGCUUCCUGUCUCCCCACUUAUCAUUGUUGGCCCCUCCAACCUCUUAUCCAUUCCGUAGUUAUAUUAACAUUUAAAGUGGAUAUCAUAUAUACAAUUUCACUUCUCAGCUUAAAGCUCUAUGAUGGCUUCUUAUUGAAUUUAGAGUAGGGAAAGAAGUCCAAAUCCUUAUCUUGAUGACAAUAGCCUGUGUUCCGGUGCCCUUGCCUGUCUCUCCAAUGCCACUCUGCAAUCACCAAGGGCCACUGGAUUCCAGAUGUGUCCCCUUGCUUCAGUUUCUCCUUUAGACCCUAUGUCCAUUGUGUCCCUCCUUCCUGCAUUGCUCUUGUCCCCUCCACCUGAAUCAGAAUGGCUUUGCUGGACCUCAUCCAUCUAAAUUAGGUCUUCCUUGGUAUUCUUGUUUGUAAUCUUGCUUUAUUUUCCUUCAUGCCACCAAUAACUUGUAAUCACAUAUACUAUGUGAUAAAUAUCUGUACAUACUGUGUGUUCUUUAAAAGAAUGGACUAGGACUAGUGUUGCCUGAUUAUGCAAAUAAAAAUGUAGGAUGCCUAAGAAAAUUUGAAUUUCAGACAAUUUUCUAGCCUAAAUGUGUCAUUUAAUAUUUUAUAUAUUUAUACUAAAAUAGGAUUCAUUGUUUAUCUGAAAUUCAAAUUUAGCUGGGCAGUCUGUAUCUUUUUUGGCAAUCCAAGCAAGUGUCUUGACUGCUCAUUAUUGCACAUCCAGAGAUUAAAUAAUAGUGCAAAGUUCAGCCUCUCCAGGACUCAGAAAUUCUCCUAAACACACUUGGCCACAUUGACCAUUCUUUUCUUCAAUCCAGCCUCUCUGCUCUCCAUCUGAAUAUGUAACUCCUUUUCUCCACUAAACUCAGCUCUGAGAGCCCAUCUUCCUUUAAUUCCUACCCAUGUUGAAGAAACAGAUAAUCCUGCCUCAUCUCUAUAAGGAAAGCAAGUUAGGUGUGUCCCCAGAUUCCCUCCUAAAACCCAUUCUGCACUGACAUUAGAUUAAAAUGCUUUUUCCUUCCUAUUAUCCCCUCACUCAGGAAUGUAUCACAUUUGAAAUGAAUGUCAAAUUCUCACCUUGACAUUCAACGUCCUGCCUAAUCCAACGCCCUUAUAUUUACCAGCAUUCACCAAUAGCCUUGCCCCACAUCUCCCUAUCACAAGCUCACACAUCAUUCUCACCUCCUUGUGCUUGCUGGUGCUGCUUCUCCCUCUUCUGCAUUCUCAAGUCCUACCUUCUCUUCAUAGCCUCACAGAUACUGAGUUUUGUCUCUUCAUAUUCAGUAGUCCCCAAACCUUAGCACAUUAUUUUAGCACUUGCUGAUGUAACACCUGAACCAGGCUCCCAUAAAGUAUUUUUUUCUCUGUAAAAGAGCUUAUAUGUUGCAUGGAGUUGGGGGACUGUGUUUUUUAUUUGUUUUGUCUCCUUGAAAGUGCUUAGCAUGAAGUAGCUAGUUAGUACUUAUUUGUUAACUAAACUUACAUAAAGAAGCAGUAAAGUUGAUCCUCAGGUGAAAUAGUCUCUAAUUUCUGUGCUCUUUGUCGCCAAAUAAAUCACUCCUGGUCUUCAAGGGCUUUGACUC